AGCACCUGACCAGGAGAAGCAGGAAUAGCAGCAUGAACAAAAUUUGGAGAAUCAUUCUGUAGCCAUUUGACCUGCAGACAACUGAUCAAAUCAAAGAAGGCAGUGACUCGUGAAGAGUAGGGGCAGCCUGCUAUUUCUCGUUGGCAUUUUUACCAGUUUGCCUACAGGAUCUUUCAGCAGGCAGCAACAUGUGAGCCCACAGCUGACAGACACAGGAGGAAAAUAUACAAGAAGAAACGGAUGAGAGAGGCCACUUUAUGCUCAUUGGGUAGCGAUAGGCCAGUGGGAUCUGUCUUACUGGAAUAAUCCAUAGCAAGAUGGUGGAUAUGUUUUCCUUUAUUUUAAUUGUAACUAUUGAAGAUGUAUUCUAUAGUUUCGGACAUAAGUUGUGGGGCUUAGUGCAAAAUGAAAGUGGAGGAACACUUGUCUGAAAAGCAGGAAAAGAAUGUUAUUAAUG